GCUGGCGGCGUGCCUAAUACAUGCAAGUCGAACGAGGUGCUUUUGUAGCAAUACGAGAGUAUCCUAGUGGCGAACGGGUGAGUAACGCGUUGGUGACCUACCCCAAAGUGUGGGAUAACAGUCCGAAAGGAUUGCUAAUACCGCAUGUGGUUAUCGGAUCUAGAAACUGAUAACUAAGGGAGCAAUUCGCUUUGGGAGGGACCUGCGUCCCAUCAGCUAGUUGGUGAGGUAACGGCUCACCAAGGCUACGACGGGUAGGGGACCUGAGAGGGUGGCCCCCCACAAUGGAACUGAAACACGGUCCAUACACCUACGGGUGGCAGCAGUAGGGAAUAUUGCACAAUGGGCGAAAGCCUGAUGCAGCAACGCCGCGUGUGCGAUGAAGGCCUUCGGGUCGUAAAGCACUUUUCUGAGAGAUGAGAAAGGACAGUAUCUCAGGAAUAAGUCUCGGCUAACUACGUGCCAGCAGCCGCGGUAACACGUAGGAGGCGAGCGUUAUCCGGAUUCACUGGGCGUAAAGCGCGUGCAGGCGGUUUGGUAAGUUGAUCGUGAAAGCUCCCGGCUCAACUGGGAGAGGUCGGUCAAUACUACCAAACUAGAGAGUAGAAGAGGAAGAUGGAAUUCCCGGUGUAGUGGUGAAAUGCGUAGAUAUCGGGAGGAACACCAGUGGCGAAGGCGAUCUUCUGGUCUAUUUCUGACGCUCAGACGCGACAGCUAGGGUAGUAAACGGGAUUAGAGACCCCGGUAAUCCUAGCCGUAAACGAUGUGAACUUGGCGUCGGUGGCUUAAACACCAUCGGUGCCGAAGCAAACGCGAUAAGUUCACCGCCUGG
rnacentral:rRNA from 1 species